rnacentral:lncRNA from 1 species
CGCUAGUCACGAUUGUGUUAAGUAAAUCCUAGGAAAGAGUAACAUGCGUAUCCCAUAGUUAUGAAUGCCUUGUCAAUGCUUAUGAUUUCCAUUGAACUUAAUGAUCUUUGAUAUGUGUCUCUAUCAUGCGUAUUCCAUAGUUAGGGUCCUUGAUAAGAAUAAUUUGGUUGUAAUGCGUAUCCCAUUCAAUUCAAUGAAUCUAGGGAAAUCUGAGAAUUAAUUGGUCAAUCUAGUUAAUUUGGGGCAUUGUCAUUCAUGGUUUGUUGAAAGAGUAAUUGGAGAUCGAGUCGUAUGCAUAUGUUUCAUGUGUGGAGAAGGAACCCUCUAGCUAGCCUUUCCCCAUUCUAUUUCAUCAAAAUCGUUUUCAUUAAAGUUUGUUUUUAAAGUUUUUGUUUUAAA